rnacentral:rRNA from 1 species
GAUGAACGCUGGCGGCGUGCCUAAUACAUGCAAGUCGAGCGAACAGAUGAGGAUCUUUCUCCUCUUACGUUAGCGGCGGACGGGUGAGUAACACGUGGAUAACCUACCUAUAAGACUGGGAUAACUUCGGGAAACCUGAGCUAAUACCGGAUAAUAUAUUGAACCGCAUGGUUCAAUAGUGAAAGACGGUUUUGCUGUCACUUAUAGAUGGAUCCGCGCCGCAUUAGCUAGUUGGUAAGGUAACGGCUUACCAAGGCAACGAUGCGUAGCCGACCUGAGAGGGUGAUCGGCCACACUGGAACUGAGACACGGUCCAGACUCCUACGGGAGGCAGCAGUAGGGAAUAUUCCGCAAUGGGCGAAAGCCUGACGGAGCAACGCCGCGUGAGUGAUGAAGGUCUUCGGAUCGUAAAACUCUGUUAUUAGGGAAGAACAAAUGUGUAAGUAAAUAUGCACGUCUUGACGGUACCUACUCAGAAAGCAACGGCUAACUACGUG